rnacentral:lncRNA from 1 species
AAGAGAUGGAAGGUUUGGAUGAAAGCUUGUUAAUGUUCUAAUCUAAUGAAAUUUGAGAGGAAAAGUGUCACCUGGAAGGAAAAGCAGAGGAUACAAUAUCAAUCCAGAAACCACUACAGAAGACUGCAGCUUGAUGUAAGUCACAAGGACAGAGAGCCAGAUGUACAAGAACAUUUAUCUAACACACCAUCUCCA